AUUGAACGCUAGCGGGAUGCCUUACACAUGCAAGUCGAACGGAGUGGCGAACGGGUGAGUAAUGUAUCGGAACGUGCCCAGUAGCGGGGGAUAACUACGCGAAAGCGUAGCUAAUACCGCAUACGAUUGGAACGGCCGAUAACGGAUUAGUGGGGUGGUUGGGUAACGGCUCACCACGGUGAAGAUCCGUAGCUGGUUUGAGAGGACGACCAGCCACCAGGGGACUGGGACACGGCCCAUACUCCUACGGGCGGCAGCAGUGGGGAAUUUUGGACAAUGGGGGAAACCCUGAUCCAGCCCUCCCGCGUGUGCGAUGAAGGCCUUCGGGUUGUACAGCACUUUUGGCAGGAAAGCGGUACCUGCAGAAUAAGCACCGGCUAACUACGUGCCAGCAGCCGCGAAAC
rnacentral:rRNA from 1 species